rnacentral:rRNA from 1 species
UGGGGAAUAUUGGACAAUGGGCGAAAGCCUGAUCCAGCCAUGCCGCGUGUGUGAAGAAGGUCUUCGGAUUGUAAAGCACUUUAAGUUGGGAGGAAGGGCAGUAAGCGAAUACCUUGCUGUUUUGACGUUACCGACAGAAUAAGCACCGGCUAACUCUGUGCCAGCAGCCGCGGUAAUACAGAGGGUGCAAGCGUUAAUCGGAAUUACUGGGCGUAAAGCGCGCGUAGGUGGUUCGUUAAGUUGAAUGUGAAAGCCCCGGGCUCAACCUGGGAACUGCAUCCGAAACUGGCGAGCUAGAGUAGGGCAGAGGGUGGUGGAAUUUCCUGUGUAGCGGUGAAAUGCGUAGAUAUAGGAAGGAACACCAGUGGCGAAGGCGACCACCUGGGCUCAGACUGACACUGAGGUGCGAAAGCGUGGGGAGCAAACAGG